rnacentral:piRNA from 1 species
UGAUUUUCCAUUGGGUUGCUAUUUUGCGA